AACAUUUCGAGUAAUUACGAGCGUGCAAUUGGAAGACCUUGGGCAAGUCCCUACUCUUCUCGGACCCUCGGUCUUUUCUUCUCUGCAAUGGGUAUGAGAACCUUUAACCUGCGGGAUUAUGGUUUGGCUCACACCCAUCACAACUGUGGCUUAUGGAGUGCCUCCUGUGUGCAGAGGACUGUUUGUCAUCUCCUCUUCCCUCCCAGGAGGGGAGGUUGGGCACAGGCUGUCCCCUCAACCCAGGAGAGGACAGUUGGAGACGUGGCUGGAGAUGCCGCUGCGGGAGGGAAGGAAGUAGGGGGGGCUGGGCAGGCUGGACUGACGCAGCUGUGAUGUCAGCGACAGGCCGCAGGCGGUGGCCAGCCCAGUGCGAACGGCGUCUUGGGGCAGGACGGCUGUCAGAGCCAGAUGUCCAUGACUGCUGUGCUCCUACACAUCUGGAAAGGAAACCGGAUGGAGGCCGAAUCAGACCAGGUGCGACCCCUCUUCUUCCUCCCCCGGGCUGGGAGUAAUUAUUUGCCUGGGUUAAUAGUGCCCACUUCCCACCACCUUUCAUCACAGCUCCUGGAAUUGCCAGGCAGUAAUUAACCCUCCUAGCACCCCUCUGAAGUUGGUACUGGAGGCAGACAUGUUAUUAUACCCAUUUUUUUUUACAGGUGAGUAAACUGAGGCAGGGCUCAUUGAGGCCUAGGAGCCUGUGGUACCCCUAUGACUCAGCAGCUCAAUCAGUCUCCACUUCCUUCCCACAGGAAGCAAGAGGGCUUACCCUCCAGACACCCCUUCCCCUGGGGGCCGAGCUGCAGAUGAGACUUGGCAGGUCUUGGAUACUCCUUGUUCCUGCCCUCUCACCUCUCAGAAGCAACAGGCAUGGGCUUGGGACCAGGUGGAAGGGGCUGGGGUCUGACUCUGCUGUGUGACACUGGGCAAGUCACUGCCCUGCUCUGAGCCUCAGUUUCCUCCUUGGUAAAGUGGGGAUAGCCAGCCCCACAUUGUGUCUUUGUUUCCCUGAGCAGAAAUCACAGAGCAGACCUCUGGUCAAGCUCCAUUCCCCGCCCGGCUCUGGCCACACGGGCCUCCUCCGUGCUCUUUGGACACCCAAGUCGCCUUCACCCUCAGGGCCUUCGCAUGUGCAGAGCCAUCUGCCCAAAAUGUCCUUCCUUCAGAUCUCUGCCUAGCAGGCGCCUUCUCUGCUUUCUCAGCUCAAACGUCACUUCCUAAACCUAGAGCCUCUCCGCCCCCAUGCCCUGCCCCAACCCCUUGCUCUAUUUUACUUUCUUAAAGUGCUUGUGAAGGUAACUCAUCGUUUCCCAUGUUUGUUUCCUCAUGAGCUCCACCAGGGAAGAGAUUUCCAUCUGGGUCAUCCACGAUGUGCUCUUAAGGCUCAGCUCAGCUUUAGGGACACAGUAGGUGUUUAAGAAGUGAUUUUUGCUUUCUUCACCUCUUGCCUGGCUCGCUCCAGGGUCAGCUACUCCUUGUCAACUGAGGAUGGGCCGAGCUCCACUCUCUUGAAGGUCUCAGGUUGCUUUGAAAUCCAGGACCUCAGUCUCGUAGCUUGAGAGCAAGAAGGUAGGUGAAGGGAGAAGGGCCACCCCCGGAACAGACACCUCACCCCUCCCCUGCUGCCUCGGGCUCAUGGACUCACUCCAGGCUGAUCCCCAAGCCAGCCACCCCCUCCCUUGGCAUGUCUGUCAGCACCCUUGGGGGAAAGAAUUUGGAAAGGGGAGGACGAGAAAGAAAAGAAAGCAGGGUGCGAGGGGACGGUUCCCACACCUGUGUAAAUAAAUUGUCGUCUUAAAACUUGUCAAAUAUGCUCACCUUCAAUGCCCAGUUCUUGGGCUUGUUUUCCUUGGCAAGGCCCCCACGGGAGUGGAAUUUCAGCUGAAGGGAGCCCAAUUGUCAUCCUCUAAGCAUGUUCCCAGGCCAGGGGGCCAGGGAAGGCUCUGGCUGAUGCUCCACUUCCGUCCCCAGAAGUACUGGAACGUUCCUGGGAUUUCAGGAGCAGCCGCCAGUCCUGGAAGCUGUCCCAGAAUUCUGGAAUGUUGGAAUUCAAACAGCCUCCUGCCCAUUUUUCAGAAGAGGCACAUGAGGACCAGACAGGGAAAGCGGUUGGCCUGAGGUCGCACAGCAUGCUGUGAAGCGCUAGAGUUUUCCAAGAGAAGAUGGGAUCAGUAUCCAUCUCCUGGUUUCUCCAGUAUUGGGGUAAUAGCACCCCAAUUUCCUACUGGAGAACCUUCUCUUCCCUCAUCUCAUCCCAUGAGAUUUGGGUGGGGUGUCCUAGGACCCUGUCUCCAAAGGUGGACAUGUGACCAAGUCUGGCUCCGUGUGAUCCGUCCAGGGAUGGGCGUGUAACUAAGCCUGCCCAAUGAAACUUGAUCCUGGGACUUUGGUUGCUGGGAAUUAUUGGCGAAAAGGCUUGCAGUUUUUCCAUUGGAUGGAGAGUGAGCAAGUGAAAGCCUGGAGCAUCGGGGACUUCAUAAGAGAAAAACCUGCCUGAGAGAGAUCAAGACAGAGCUAGACAGGGUUGGAUCCCCUGGCUCCAGCCAUACCUGAAAUUAGACACACUUGAAGGUUUUCAUUUCAUGAGCCACUACAUUUCCUGUUUUUGGCUGAAAACAGUUUGGUUUUCCAUCACUUGCACACAAAAGGGGAUAACUGACCCAGGGGAAGGGAGAAGGAAGUGAUUCCAAACCGAGGAAACAGCAUGUGUCGUGACCCUGAAGCAGCAAUGCUAGGGGAUAUUCAAGUAACAGGGCAAACAGAGUCUCCCCAAGGUGAGGUCAGGAGUUUGUCAGGUGGUCAGGGUGGGAGAAGGGAGCGUCCCCAAGCAGAGGGAACAACCGAUGAGAACGCGCGGAGGGGCGACCAGCCAGUGAAGACUAACCACGUACUGGCCUUGUGUUGGGUGCCAGGGAACACAGAGGUGAAAAACACGAAAUCGAAUCCAGCUACUACUUAGCGGCUCUGGCCAAAUGUGGGCUCUUGCGCUUUCAGAGCUGAGCCAUCAAGCCCAUCCCGCAUGCUGUCUCAGAUGCACGUUCUCUUUGCUGAUACAGUUGGGCACCAUCGGGGCCACCCAGCUUCAUUUUCUAGGGUGCAGAGCGUCAGUUCCCAUUGUGUCAGAGAGAGAGUCUUUCCCUUUGCAGAUCUUUCUACAGUUCUUCCUUUACAUCAUGAAGAGCAGAUGCUAACCUAUCUCUAACACUCGAUCCUUGCUUAUCUCCCCUGGUGAAAAUGAGCAAGUCUCAGACGUCAUACCUCUGGCAUACAGUUUUCUCUAGCUAAACUUUUACAAACUUUGUACUCAGCUAUGACAUAUGCGGGAGAAGGAACUGGCAACCCACUCCACUACUCUUGCCUGGAAAAUCCCCUGGACGGAGGAGCCCGGUAAGCUACAGUCCAUG
rnacentral:lncRNA from 1 species